rnacentral:lncRNA from 1 species
AUUUUUUGUCAAACUUAUUCUCUUGUUUGUUCCACCCAGGACCAGGCCCGCGAUUCAAAACAAAAGAACAAUACUAUUGAUACACUCUAAAAUUUUAAAAAAUAAAUUAAAUUAUGAUAGUUAUAUGACUGAUGUGGUGUCUUCAACCAAUUACAUUUCGUCCCUAGAAUUCACUCAUUUUAUCAUAACUUUUAGAAAAAUAUUUUUACUGUACUUCUAUAAUUGGCACGACAUAGAUGAUGUAAUAUAGCUGCUAUAUAAUAGACUUUCUCUCAAAUGGCGGUAUACAUUACGCUUACCUUAAUUCCAAAACCAUCAUUUUCCUAUUUUUCACAUCAACUUUUUUUUUAUACUAUUAUCCAU